GAAGCUGGAUUCGCUAGUAAUCGCGCAUCAGCCACGGCGCGGUGAAUACGUUCCCGGGCCUUGUACACACCGCCCGUCAAGCCAUGGAAGCCGGGAGUGCCUGAAGUACGCGACCGCAAGGAGCGUCCUAAGGUAAAACCGGUGACUGGGGCUAAGUCGUAACAAGGUAGC
rnacentral:rRNA from 1 species